AUUUAAUUGCAAAUGGAAUUCCUUAUGUGAGAAACUCUUUCGUGGCUCUUGGAAUUGUGUUGGCAGUGAUUGAGUUGGAUUUGGGCUUCUCAAAAUUCGAAAUUCUGUUUUCUGAACAAUUUCCCGCUCUGCUGUCAAUUUUUGCUGUCAGUGUGAUCGGGGCGGUGAUUUGGCCAGAUCGCUGCCCCAAUCGCUUCCUGUGAAUCAGUCCAGUUUUCAGCUUUCUGUCUCUAC
rnacentral:lncRNA from 1 species